GGAGGACUGUAGUUCAAAGGUAGAACAUCUGCUUUACAUGUAGAAGGUCCCAGUUUCAAUCCCUAGCAUCUCUA